AUUUACUACCAUGAAAUACCACCUUUGACUUAUUCGGAGUCUUUAGGUGUACGCACUUUUUCUUACAGUCAAUGACCGCUCCAUGACUUGAUAACCAAUCCAUCCCGAGGAUUACAUCAAACUCUCCAAGACGAAUCAGUAUCAAAUCCACGUUAAGCUUAAAUCCUCUUACAUUAGCACAACAGUUCCUAUGAAUGUAGUCUACAG
rnacentral:lncRNA from 1 species